AGUGAACGCUGGCGGUAGGCCUAACACAUGCAAGUCGAACGGCAGCACAGUAAGAGCUUGCUCUUACGGGUGGCGAGUGGCGGACGGGUGAGGAAUACAUCGGAAUCUACUUUUUCGUGGGGGAUAACGUAGGGAAACUUACGCUAAUACCGCAUACGACCUACGGGUGAAAGCAGGGGAUCUUCGGACCUUGCGCGAUUGAAUGAGCCGAUGUCGGAUUAGCUAGUUGGCGGGGUAAAGGCCCACCAAGGCGACGAUCCGUAGCUGGUCUGAGAGGAUGAUCAGCCACACUGGAACUGAGACACGGUCCAGACUCCUACGGGAGGCAGCAGUGGGGAAUAUUGGACAAUGGGCGCAAGCCUGAUCCAGCCAUACCGCGUGGGUGAAGAAGGCCUUCGGGUUGUAAAGCCCUUUUGUUGGGAAAGAAAAGCAGCAGGUUAAUACCCCGCUGUUCUGACGGUCCCCAAAGAAUAAGCACCGGCUAACUUCGUG
rnacentral:rRNA from 1 species